AAGAGAAGCCCUUCUGGAAAAAUGAAAAACAGAGCCCAGAAAGCUACAAACAUCAAUAAAGUCUCUGAGGUUAUUCAGGGGAAAGAGGAAAGUCCAGCACAGUUCUAUAAAAGGCUAUGCAAAGCC